GACGAACGCUGGCGGCGUGCCUAAUACAUGCAAGUCGAACGCAUUUUCUUUCAACUUAGCUUUCUACCCCGAAAGAAAGUGAGUUGCGAACGGGUGAGUAACACUUGGUUAACCUGCCCAUCAGCGUGGGAUAACACUUGGUAACAGGUGCUAAUACCUCAUAAUUCCAUUUACCGCAUGGUAGAUGGAUUAAAGUCUCUUUUGCGUCACUGUUGGAUGGACCCUCGCUGCAUUAGCUAGUUGGUGGGGUAACGGCCUACCAAGGCUGAGAUGCAUAGCCGAACUGAGAGGGGGAUCGGCCAACCUGGGACGGAGAAAAGGGCCAGAAUCCUAAGGGAAGGAGCAGUAGGGAAUCUUUGGGAAUGGACGCAAGGCUGAACGAGCAAAGGCGCGUGAGUGAAGAAGGGUUUCGGAUUGUAAAACUCUGGUGUUAGAGAAGAAAAAGGAUGGGAGGGGAAAGUGCAUGCCUUGACGGUAUCUAACCAGAAAGCCACGGCUAACUACGUG
rnacentral:rRNA from 1 species